GAUGAACGCUGGCGGCGUGCCUAAUACAUGCAAGUCGAGCGAACGGACGAGAAGCUUGCUUCUCUGAUGUUAGCGGCGGACGGGUGAGUAACACGUGGAUAACCUACCUAUAAGACUGGUAUAACUUCGGGAAACCGGAGCUAAUACCGGAUAAUAUUUUGAACCGCAUGGUUCAAAAGUGAAAGACGGUCUUGCUGUCACUUAUAGAUGGAUCCGCGCUGCAUUAGCUAGUUGGUAAGGUAACGGCUUACCAAGGCAACGAUGCAUAGCCGACCUGAGAGGGUGAUCGGCCACACUGGAACUGAGACACGGUCCAGACUCCUACGGGAGGCAGCAGUAGGGAAUCUUCCGCAAAGGGCGAAAGCCUGACGGAGCAACGGCGCGUGAGUGAUGAAGGUCUUCGGAUCGUAAAACUCUGUUAUUAGGGAAGAACAUAUGUGUAAGUAACUGUGCACAUCUUGACGGUACCUAAUCAGAAAGCCACGGCUAACUACGUG
rnacentral:rRNA from 1 species